UGAUGACGUCGCGUCGUGACGUCAUAUUUCAAAAUGGCAGAGCCCGCGGAAAGACCCCCUGGAGUCGACUCCAUUUCCCAAGAAAAGAUGUCAACAGCGCGACUUGUAACAAUUAUAAGGCCGAGGAGGGUUAUUUGAACACACACCAUUCAAUUAUUAUAAAUGAAAGUCACGUUUUGUAACCGCUCUGGUCUCGUCCCAGCGGAAGUGACGCUAGCACGUCAUCAGAAUACAACAGAUCAACACGACGAGAGAGACAUUCUGCCGCUAGACGAAGGUCACCGAGCAGCGACGAAGUUUGCAUUUUCGGUAGAGGUCCAGGGAGCCACGAGGGCGGUGCUAAAGAGACGCGGGUUGCUGACCCCCGGCCUACACCCUAGACUGGCCGCCAGUUCAUCACAGGACACAUGAACAAGCCUUCGCCCUCAAAUCAGAGAAAAACAACAACACCAGAAAUGUGUCCCGUGAAAAACCGUCCGACCAGAACUCUAAUAACUAAAGUUCCUUGGGUGAAUAAUGAAAUGGCAACAGCAGAGGAUGGAUGUCCCAUAACAAGAAGGUGGAGAAAAAGAAGAAGCUUAUCGACUACGGUGUCUGCACGGACUACAAAGGCGGAC